GACGAACGCUGGCGGCGUGCUUAAUACAUGCAAGUCGAGCGAACGGACGCGAAGCUUGCUUCUCAGAUGUUAGCGGCGGGGGGGAGAGUAACACGUGGAUACCGUACCUAUAUGACUGGUAUAACUUCGGGAAACCGGCGCUAAUACCGUAUAAUAUUUUGAACCGCAUGGUUCAAAAGAGAAAGACGGUCUUGCUGUCACUUAUAGAUGGUACCGCGCUGCAUUAGCUGGUUGGUAAGGUAACGGCUUACCAAGGCAACGAUGCAUAGCCGAAGUGGGCGGGUGAUCGCCCACACGGGAACGGAGACACGGUCCAGACUCCUACGGGAGGCAGCAGUAGGGAAUCGUAGGCAGUGGGCGGGAGCCUGACGGAGCAAGGCGGCGUGAGUGAUGAAGGUCUUCGGAUCGUAAUACUCUGUUUUUGGGGAAGAACAUAUGUGUAAGGAACUGUGGAGAUAGUGACGGUACCUGAUCAGAAAGCCACGGCUAACUACGUG
rnacentral:rRNA from 1 species